rnacentral:rRNA from 1 species
GCAGCCGCGGUAAUACGGAGGGUGCGAGCGUUGUCCGGAAUCACUGGGCGUAAAGGGCGCGUAGGUGGCAGCGUAAGCGUGUGGUGAAAGCUCGGGGCUCAACCCUGAGUCGGCCAUGCGAACUGCGUUGCUUGAGCACUGUAGAGGCAGACGGAAUUCCGGGUGUAGCGGUGGAAUGCGUAGAGAUCCGGAAGAACACCGGUGGCGAAGGCGGUCUGCUGGGCAGUUGCUGACACUGAGGCGCGACAGCGUGGGGAGCAAACAGG